rnacentral:misc_RNA from 1 species
ACUCGCCUUAAAACAAUGAGCUAGAUAAGUCAUUUGACUGGUUUCCCUAGGCGUGAUAAGUAUUUCGCUUAGGACAUGGGUUGACUUCGGUCUUCACAUGGCCAGGACUUUGACAUAGAUCUGCUUUCUAUCCCUAUGGCUGCAAAGCUAUAAUCUUGACAUCUGGCCUCAAAUCAGGUAGGACUACCCGCUGAACUUAA